CGUGCACCAGUGGGGUCCCUUGGCCUGGCCUGUGUUCUCUCGCAAUCCGCAAUCCGGGACCCCUCGGGGAUGUCAAAGAGCUUAUUUCAGCCCGAUCCCGCAGGCCAGGCCGAGGGACCCCACUGGUGCACG
rfam:Myotis brandtii contig245065, whole genome shotgun sequence.